UUGAUUACUAAUGGGUAAAUUUGUUCUGGAGUAAAGCUCCUGCAAACUUCUAGUUGUCCUCAGUGUAAUCAUCCAAGUUGAGCUCAGUCCCCAGUGAACACAUUGUGACAAUCUGUGUGGAAGAUUGUCUAACUGUUGUCUAUGAGGGAAACACUUUAGUGACUCCAUACUCGGAGGGUGUGGGUUGGGGCUGAUUCUAGGCACUUCUUUAAGGAUGGAACAAUUGACUUUCAGAAGGAAACAGGAGAUCAGUAAAUACCAUGUUGUCUAUAUUAAGUGUGUAGGCCCAGUGAGCCACUGUGGUUGGCAGGAUCUCUCAAAUGCUGAGUUUUGUGGUCCCAGCAAUUUCCUACUCAGUCAGCUUUCUUUUCUAAGGGUAAAUAAUAUGGAGAAUGCUAAUAUUAGCUCUCUACUGCACAGGAUGUUGGUAGGAUGGUGAUAGAGAUGCAAUCAACAAAUAAGUUAAGGGUGACCCGAGAGCCCCUCUUACUUCCUGUGAACUCACCAAAAGUGAGUUCACCAAAGGAAGGGUGUACAAUACUCUCUGUUUACCUUGUGUGUGGGGCCCAAUUCUAGUGUUAGAGUGGCUGUGAGGACUUAAGUACACUAAAGAUUUCAUGGACAAAAUCGUGGAAUUAAUCGGGAGGCCAGGGAAUCGUGAACAUCAUGCAUGGUGAGUAUAGAUUUCUCACACUGUCAAUCUCUCCUGGCCUCCACUACACAUUUGUGGGAUAUUUUAGAUCUCAGUGACCUUUGAGGAUGUGGCCGUGAACUUCACCCAGGAGGAGUGGACUUUGCUGGAUGCUUCCCAGAAGAACCUUUACAGAGGUGUGAUGCUGGAAGUCUUCAGAAACCUGGCUUCUAUAGGAAAGAGAUGGGAUGACAAGAACAUUGAAGAUCAGAUCAAUAAUUCUGGGAGUAAUCUAAGGCACUUCAGAUCUCACUGUGGGCAUGAAUGCUAUAAACAUGAAGAGUGUGAAGAGAAGCCAUGUGAAUUGAAACAAUACAGAAAAUCUCUGGUUUCUCUCAAAAGUGUUCACACACAAAUGUUAACACAAACUGGAGAUGGACCAUAUGAAAGUACAGUAUGUGGAAGAGUCAUCAGUUGUUCCAGUGACAUUCAAAGACAUGAAGAUUCUCAUACUGAGUGCCAACCCUAUGAAUGUCAACAAUGUGGUGAAGCCUUUUCUUCUCUCCCAGCUGUUCAAAGACACAUGAGAACACACAGUGGAGGUAAACCUUUUCAAUGUGAGGUAUGUGGGAAAGCCUUUCAUUCCCCCACUUUAUUUAGAAAACAUGAAAGAACUCAUUCUGGAGAGAAACUCCAUAAAUGUAAACAAGGAGGUAAAACUUUGGUUUCAUUCACAAGUCUUCGAUGUCACAUGAUCAGGCACACUGGGAAAGCACAUUUCAAAUGUAAGGUAUGUGGAAAAGACUUUGCUUAUCCCAGUUUACUUAGAAUACAUCAGAGAACACAUACUAGAGAGAAACCCUAUGAAUGUCCACAAUGUGGGAAAGCCUUCAGUACUUCAUCUUACCUCCAGAUACACGAAUGGACUCAUACAGGAGAGAAGCCCUAUGAGUAUAAGCGGUGUGGAAAAGCCUUCACUCAGUCUGCUCACCUUCACUCUCAUGAGCAAACUCAUACUGGAGAGAAGCCCUAUAAAUGUCAACAAUGU